rnacentral:lncRNA from 1 species
AGUGUCCAUGCAAUUUCUUAAAUAUUAGAAUUUGAAAUUUUAAUAAAAUAUAGAAUCAAAAUCUGGAUCAGAUAUUUGGAUUGUGGUCUUUAGAAACUUCUUUAAAAACAGAUCCUAGUAUGCAAAAAUUGAUAAUUUAUUCAACAUGCUAAACCUAACAUGAUUUUUGAAAAAUUAGUUUCUUGAUUAAGAGGAGGCAUGUGGCUUCAUGAUGAGGACUAUGUCGCAACUAUUCGGGAGGGAUAGAAGCAUUGCAAACCUAACAUGAACCAGGAAAUUUAAUCAACAAGUGAGCUUUAAGAAAUAUUAAGAGGAAAAUAGAGAACAAAGGAAGCACUUGCUCGUGUUGCAUUAACUGGUUCACAUACUAUUAUUCCAUCAAGAGUUCGCUCGUCAUGGUUCCUCCUCUCCAUAGUUUCUAUUAUCCUACAUUUGUUAAA